rnacentral:rRNA from 1 species
UACGUAGGGUGCUAACGUUGUUCGGAAUCACUGGGCAUAAAGAGCGCGUAGGCGGUCUGAUAAGUCAGGUGUGAAAUCCCCCGGCUCAACCGGGGAACUGCAUUUGAAACUGGCGGGCUUGAGUGCGGCAGAGGGGGGUGGAAUUCCGCGUGUAGCAGUGAAAUGCGUAGAGAUGCGGAGGAACACCGAUGGCGAAGGCAGCCCCCUGGGCCGACACUGACGCUCAGGCACGAAAGCGUGGGGAGCAAACAGG